AGUAGGGCGUCUCGGACCGUCACUCUCAACCCAAAGGCUCUUUUAAGAGCCACCCACAUUUUCAGUAAAAGAGUCGAUCACACUUGAUUCUUUUCGCCGGGGCUCUUGUGCGGGACAUGGCGCGCACGAAGCAGACAGCGCGUAAGUCGACGGGCGGGAAGGCGCCCCGCAAGCAGCUGGCUACCAAGGCUGCCCGCAAGAGCGCGCCGGCCACGGGCGGCGUCAAGAAGCCGCAUCGCUACCGGCCCGGUACGGUGGCGCUGCGCGAGAUCCGGCGCUACCAGAAGUCCACGGAGCUGCUGAUCCGCAAGCUGCCCUUCCAGCGCCUGGUGCGCGAGAUCGCGCAGGACUUCAAGACGGACCUGCGCUUCCAGAGCUCGGCCGUCAUGGCGCUGCAGGAGGCCAGUGAGGCUUACCUGGUGGGGCUCUUCGAGGACACCAACCUGUGCGCCAUCCACGCCAAGCGCGUCACCAUCAUGCCCAAGGACAUCCAGCUGGCCCGCCGCAUCCGCGGAGAGCGCGCAUAAGGUGUUGAUUAAUGGAAAUUUGAGACCAUCGAAAACCCAAAGGCUCUUUUAAGAGCCACCACAGCGUCACUAAAGGGCUGUAAAUUCCUUGUUAGCGGUGGGAAAUUUUUUGGGUGGCCUUGUAGUCAAGAUCUACCGUGUUAAGGGAGCCUGAGAUAAAAGAAUGCUGCCAAGUCAAAGCUGGAUGCGAGCAAGACCUCUGUGCUGACCAGCUGAGGAUUGCCUUGAGAGUUGCUAUUGGUAAUCAAGUUCUCAGGUUACAGCUUGAGCUGGGUGGAUCUGCAGAGUGAGCACUACACCAAAAAUUAACCUUCAAUCCCAUUCAAGCCACCCAGUGCUCAACUCCCAGAAACACAAGAAUCCUGCUGGCUUCUUCUUUCUGUUAACUCUUUCAUCUGACCCUCAGCCUGCUGUGGACCCUCUCCACACCCCAACACUGCUUUCUCCACACCUUUCUCUUUCAGGCCAUCCCUGGUGCUGGGCACCUCGGCCUCAGCCCAAGCUUGCUCUUAGGGAAAGGUUUCAGACUCACAAAACCCACUCCUGCAGGGACACUGGGGCAGCAAAGAGCAUGUCAAGGGCAGGGUGGCCCUGCCCCAACACUGCUUCCUCCUCACCUUUCUCAUCUGAGUCACCUGUGGUGCUUUCUCCAGUUUACAUGUAUUGACAAUGUUCAGUUCAAUAUCUGUUUCCCAGUCCUUCAUGUUCUUUUACCCUUAAACACUGUGAGGUUUUGCUGCUCCAUUAACAUGACGAUGCUUUUUUAAUGGGCUUGAUCACUUUGUCUUUACACAUCAGCCAAGUCUGUACUCUGUGGUGCUGUCCUCUGUUCUCAUGUGGAGGUUAAUGUAAUUGAGAUAUUAAAAUACCCAAUUAUAUAUCCUCUGUGUCCUUAUUGCUUCUCUCUCCACAUUUUAUUCUUGCUCAUCACAAUCUGUUUCUGAAGAUCUUCCAUUUCACUGCAUGCUAUCCCCAUGCCAUGAAUAUUUGAUGUAUUUAUGAGUAUCCCCUUUCUCUCUGCCCAUGGCUUUUUAUUUUUAUGCUCUUCCAAGCACAGCACUUAUCCAUCAAGAUGGAUCUUUAAUGCUAUACAAAAUUUUGGCCUGUAAGAGCUUCAAUUUGUGAUGCCAUCAAUAGGAAAGUAAUUGAUCCAGAGGGCACAUGAUAUACUUUUCAGUAAGUGUUCCAUAUGAUCCCAUUGAUUUUAGGGCAGUAUGCCAAUGUUAUAAUGAAAACAAGGACCUAGAGCCUAAGGUAUGAUGUAAGAAGCAUGACAAAAAAAAACAAAACAAAACCAAACACAAAAAACCAAAAACAAAUAAACAAAACAAACAAACAAGAAGCGUUUCUGAGACAGCUUUUCAGGAACAGCCAAAAGUAAAACAUAAAUCUUUGUGUGUUUUAGAUGCCAAUUCAGUGUGCUGAGGUCUGAAUGUUUCCUGAGUUAAUUCAGACUACUGCUAAUAUAGGAAAAACAGCUAAGAUCUCCAUUGCACCAAUGCAAUGAUAAAUAGCACUUGAGAGAUUCUGAAUGCUUUGCUGCAGUCAACUAGCUCUGUCAAAAUCAUUGUCACACUGAGAUUGAAGGACUUCUAAGUAACAAACAGGGCCAGCUGCAAUUCAAGUUA